CUGUCAUCUUUCAUUGUCUAUUUGUUUUAAAAGAUCACAACUCUCUCUCUCUCUCUCUUGAUAUUCGAUCAACAUCACCAGCUCAUUAAUCACUCAUCUCUCUCCCUCUUUUGAAUCCCCACAUCUUUCAUCUCUCUCUAUAUUCAAAUUGUUCACCAGCUUCAUCUUUAAAGUAUCAUCUUCAAGAAACCACAAAUCAGGUGGUUGGUCGGUGGAGGAAGUCGGGUGUGCGAGGUGGUCGGUCGGAUGACGUGGUGUGGGAGGUGGUUGGUGGGAGUUGGGCAGAGGCGGUAGGCGGUGGUUGGUGGGAGUCUUUCGACAGCCGCGGUGGUGUCCGACCACCAUCGCCUGAAAACGAACCGCCAUGGCCACCAUCCCUUCGAUGAGAGAGAAGGGGAACCGGAGAAGGAGAUCGGAGAGAGAAAGAAAGACGGCGGAGCUCCGAUCCGGUCAGCGAUGACAGAGAAGGUGGUGGUGUUUGGACGAUGACGGUAAAGGUGGGGAUACGUCGGAGCUCCGAUCCGGUGAGCGACGACAACAAGUUUCAGUCCGACUCAAGUAUGGUUCGAGUUUUUGUUCGGGUCAGCCGUGGGUCGAGUUUCGGGUCAGUGGGUGCGGGUUUGGUUCAACCCGGUUCGGAAGCUUAAGGUCGGCGGCUCAGUCAAACCGGGUCAGAUUCAGAGUUGUUCGGGUCAAGCUUCGGCUCAGUCUCGGUUUGGGUCUUGCGGUUCGGUAGCGAGUUAUUAUUACGUUAGUUUAGAUUUUAUUUAGUUAACGCGCACCGAGCUCGAACCGAUACUUUAGUGACUUGUUACGUUUGGCAUUUUGAUAGAAAUUUUAUGUAUUAUGUUUAUAUUGUUGAGUUUUGAAAAGAUAAUGACAACUUGAGUAGUCGGCUUAUUCCAAAAA